rnacentral:rRNA from 1 species
UACGGAGGGUGCAAGCGUUAUCCGGAUUUACUGGGUUUAAAGGGUGUGUAGGCGGGUCUUUAAGUCAGUGGUGAAAUCUCCGAGCUUAACUUGGGAACUGCGCUCGAAACUACGUGGCUGGAGUGUGGCAGAGGAAGGUGGAAUUCCAGGUGUAGCGGUGAAAUGCGUAGAUAUGACACAGAACACCGAUUGCGAAGGCAGCUGACGAAACUGCAACUGACGCUGAUGCACGAAAGUGCGGGGAUCAAACAGG